GGCGAGCGGGACGGGCGGGGCGGCAGAUGGGGAGGCGGCUAGGGUUCUACCUGCUGCUGGCGGAAGUAGCAGGGUUUGAAGGAGCGGCAGAUGUGGGCAUGGUUGCGGUUGGGGAAGGCUCACCGGCUGGGGGACGGCGAGCAUCGGUGAGCGCAGCGAAAGGAAGCCAGGCAUCGGCGUACGGCAACGAUUUUGGCGCCUGCGGCAUGACGGCGAGUCGCCGCCGAACGCUCAGCGAUGGGGCGAGUUGGUUAAGGUGUCAGUGGCGCCUUUGCUUGUCGCCAAGGAUGGCACGUGCGCGAUCUGAAGUACGACGUCGGCCAACUUCGGCCUCCGAGGCUUCCCUGACACCCUCCUCUACCACUACCUCAAUAAAAAGGUCUUCGAAGGAUUAGGGCUUAGGGCAACUCGAUGGCAGCCAGUCGGAGUUUGCUAAGUUGCAUAUGCAAGUCCUUUUGAAAUAUGAAACUUCUGUCUGGUGAUGAGCUUCUGCUCAUCUUGCUUCUGCUCAUCUUGAUUGAUUCAUCUCCAGUGAAGGGGGGGCUUGUCCUUCCAUGGUGCUCAGCCACGGACAGAUUUGGAGCGAAAAUAGGAGAUCCUGACAAAAAUGAGCAUGCUAGCGGUGGAUCCAAGGAUGCAUGGUGAUUGUGCCAGGUUUGUGCUCUGGCUCUUCUGUUGGGUACACAUGAAUCUAUGAUCCAGAUUCUAGCUACACCCUUUACUACAACAAUCUCAGGCUUUACUGAAAAGUGUACUGCUUAUAUAGUUGAUAUCUUUAAUUCAUAUGGUCGUCCGCUGGAUGAUCACUGGUCUUCGGUUCAUAUGGUCACUGGCUGGAAGCUUGCUGUUAUGUUUGCUUCAUAUGGUGGUCGACUGGAAGCUCGCGGUCUGAAUGAUCUCAUUGUCUAUGGCCGGCAAUACACACUUUUCAUUACUACCAGCCAGGGGUUCACGGGCCAUCAUGAUGAUAUACUUGGUUCUUUAAAGAAGAAUGAUAAGAACUAACGAGGGUUGUCUUGUCCAAGAGCUCUGCCGCGAUGGCAUCGCCACUCAGUGAUGCCUCAGCAGGAAGGCUAAUCGCAGGGAGGUGCGACAUGGGUGGCCUAAAAAGCUAAUUUGGUGCCCUCUCUCUUUGCCUCUUGUUUCCUCCAGCACCUUGAUUUUGAUGGCUAAUAUAUUGACUUUCUAAACAUCUUUAAUUUAUAAGGAAUGUAGUAGUUAUAUGCUUUUCAUUUAUGAUAGAGAGAUUGAACCUAGGUGUCUUGCUUGCUGCUUUGUAAUAUAAGCAUGAUAUUUUUCUGCCGACUUUGUGGACAGGCUAACAAUGAAAAUUUUAUCUGUAAAAUAUGGUGAUCCCUAUAGUGCUAUUUCUGAAGCUUCGCUGUGCUUGCUUUCCCCCAACAAGCAGUAAUCCAAUCACGGGUGCAUCAGGUACUAUAUCAUGUGAGAAAAUCAAACUGCUCAUUCAUAAGACAGGAUUUCCGCUCACAUUUAUCAUGCUUCGACACUCACAAAAUAUCUUGUGAGCAUUAAUGCCCGCAAGCCCAACCUGAAGAGAGUAAGCAUCUCUUCUUAUUCUCCCUCUCCCUCAAUUUGCUUUUUUGAUUGUCUUGAUUUGGUAUUGUGAUAUGGUAGUUGUAUACUUCUGAGUGUUAUUCCAUUAUUAUAUCCUCUGAAAUGUUAAAACCUGACUAGAUCUGGAUAUUGUAUGUAUUAUUACGUCUACAUAUGGAGGAGCAGAGCAUUGCAUCGGACCUUUGCCUGUUGAUAUAUAGUACGUCGUCCUUCUCAAGCACAUCGGCUUAACAUACUGAUGCCACCCAUGGUGGCCUUGGGUUCUGAUUGAGGCAUCAGCCACGGACGUGGGAUUGCCAGUUCGUAGUUUUGUUCCACUGAAUUUUUCAUACUCGAGCUUUUGGGCCUACGCUACAACCAGCAGUAUCCAAGACAGGUGGCCGCCUUUUGUACCAUGUUCAAAAGGAAUUGGUGCUCUGAAAUUCAAUAAUUUUUUGCAGGUUUCCUCUCGGUUGCUCAUGUUCACAAUCACAGCAAGUAACCAUAUGGUUUUCCACAGGCAACUGCGCAACAUUAUUUUUCAGGAGGACAAGUAAUCAACUUAUUUCACAUUCAGUACACUACAAACAACUGCUGACACAAUGAGGUUCAACCAUGAUCGUAGCCACCGAUGUCUAAACGCUCUUAUAUUUCUUUACAAUGGAGUAUUUGAUAGUUCAUAGUUGAUAGCACUGAAUAAAGUAUUCCAGAAUAUUACUUAUGUAUCUUAUCACUUGCUCUCUGUUUUUGCCAGCGUGUAUCAGAUUGGUUAUUGUUGUUUCAAUACAGUUUGUGGUUUUAGUAUUUUUUUUAUCAUGCUGAAGCUUUAGUUAGAUUUUUUGUGGGAGUUUCAAGAGCAAUUUUUUUCUUUGCUUGCAGCCGCUAUUUUACUGUUCAACACUGGUAUAGUUGAAGAAUAAUAUUUAGAGAAGUCCCCCAUCAGCAUAUCUGAGCUUAGCCGAGACGACAUGCAUCUACGGGGAGAAUCACCAUGAUGGACUGCAUCUGCCCAGACGAUCGUUGCGACGGCCACAACGAAGUGCAUCUCUCAAUUCCAGGAUCAACAUGCUGGACGAAUCCUCCUUUCAUGUUAAGUUGCAACAGUGCAAGCAAACACCAUGGAGGCUUCUGUAGUUAGGGACGGUGAAUCUGCAUCAACAGUGCUGGAUGGAAAUUGCUCGCCGUCCUUCCUCCAUAAACCACGUAGGGACCUUGUAUUAGCCUCCCCAUCUAUCCGUCAGGAAGCCCUGACUUUCCCUGCUAUUGCUGUCAAAAAUGCUACCCUUGUAGCACACGAACUGAACUUAAGUAUGUCACAUGGAGCUUCAGGUAACAAAUCUAAAAGAACCAAAAUUAAUGUAUGGCAUGUCUUUCGUCACAA